GUAUUAUGUAUAGUUUACUAGUAUUAUGUAUGUAUUAUGUAUAGUUUACAUAAUACAUACAUACAUAAUACUAGUAAACUAUACAUAAUACAUACCCACAUAAUACUAGUAAACUAUACAUAAUACAUACCCACAUAAUACUAGUAAACUAUACAUAAUACAUACAUAAUACUAGUAAACUAUACAUAAUACAUACAUACAUAAUACUAGUAAACUAUACAUAAUACAUACAUAAUACUAGUAAACUAUACUAGUAUUAUGUAUGUAUGUAUUAUGUAUAGUUUACUAGUAUUAUGUAUGUAUUAUGUAUAGUUUACUAGUAUUAUGUAUAGUUUACUAGUAUUAUGUAUGUAUUAUGUAUAGUUUACUAGUAUUAUAUAUGUAUUACGUAUAGUUUACUAGUAUUAUGUAUGUAUUACGUGUAGUUUACUAGUGUUAUGUAUGUAUUACGUGUAGUUUACUAGUAUUAUGUAUAUAUUACGUGUAGUUUACUAGUAUUGUGUAUGUAUGUAUUACGUAUAGUUUACUAGUAUUAUGUAUGUAUGUAUUACGUAUAGUUUAAUAGUAUUACGUAUGUAUGUAUUAUGUAUGUAUGUAUGUAUAAGAUACAAGCGAUACCCUGUAAAGAACAUAACAAUAAAGCAUCAGCAGUAUUCCAGCCGUGUUCUGACUUCCUUGUGGUGGAAGAAGUGAUCAAGUGUCUUAAUCCUCAGCACCAUGAACAUACUGCUAAUGCAACUGUGUGUUCAAGGUUUUAACGUGUUGGAUCUCUGCAGGUUUUUGGGCUUGCGGCACACAACAGGAUGUAAAAACCAAAGUGCAUCUCUCCGUCCCUCCUCCCUCUCUCACUCCCUUCUCUCCCUCUCUCUCUCUCUCUCUCUCUCUCUCUCCCCCACACCGCUCAGUUAAUCUGAUUAAACCAGCAGCUGUCUGCGGUUCUGCGGCAACAAUAGCGGCUGGCUGAGCCGCCGAUUAGCGCGGUUGCAUCAUGAAUUAUGCAGCGAGGGGAAGGUGGCGCAGUGAGGGGAAGGUGGCGCAGCGAGGGGAAGGUGGCGCAGUGAGGAGGGGAAGGUGGCGCCGUGAGGGGAAGGUGGCGCAGUGAGGGGAAGGUGGCGCAGUGAGGAGGGGAAGGUGGCGCAGUGAGGGGAAGGUGGCGCAGUGAGGAGGGGAAGGUGGCGCCGUGAGGGGAAGGUGGCGCAGUGAGGGGGAAGGUGGCGCAGUGAGGAGGGGAAGGUGGCGCCGUGAGGGGAAGGUGGCGCAGCGAGGGGAAGGUGGCGCAGUGAGGAGGGGAAGGUGGCGCCGUGAGGGGAAGGUGGCGCAGUGAGGGGAAGGUGGCGCAGUGAGGAGGGGAAGGUGGCGCAGUGAGGAGGGGAAGGUGGCGCCGUGAGGGGUAGGUGGCGCAGCGAGGGGAAGGUGGCGCAGUGAGGAGGGGAAGGUGGCGCCGUGAGGGGAAGGUGGCGCAGCGAGGGGAAGGUGGCGCAGCGAGGGGAAGGUGGCGCAGUGAGGAGGGGAAGGUGGCGCCGUGAGGGGUAGGUGGCGCAGUGAGGGGAAGGUGGCGCAGUGAGGGGAAGGUGGCGCAGCGAGGGGAAGGUGGCGCAGCGAGGGGAAGGUGGCGCAGUGAGGGGAAGGUGGCGCAGUGAGGGGAAGGUGGCGCAGUGAGGGGAAGGUGGCGCAGUGAGGGGAAGGUGGCGCAGCGAGGGGAAGGUGGCGCAGUGAGGAGGGGAAGGUGGCGCAGUGAGGGGAAGGUGGAUGAAUGGAUGGAUGAAUGGAUGGAUGAAUGGAUGAAACCUUUAAAGAAUAAAGGCCUGUUUGAUGUGGAAGACGAGGAGCCACACACACACACACACACACACACACACACACACACACACACACACACACACACACACACACACACACACACAGGUGGAGCUCCGCCUACCUCUCUUGGUGAUGAUGAUGCGGAGCAGUGGGUUUGCCGCCGACACCGCCUUGUGGAAGUUGUCGUCGUUGUUGAUGGGCAGCAGGUCGCCGUGGACGUCCGCGUAUCCCAGCAGCACGUCGGUGCCGGGGACGCGGGUGGAGGUUCUGGAGGAGGCGGUAGAACUCCUGGAAGCCGCCGGCGCCGUUCCUCCUCAGGGCGAAGCGCCGGUACUCGGCCUCGAACUGGAAGAGAGGGUGACAGCAGCCGGUGGGUCGACGAGCUACACGGGCGGCACGACGCCUCCGUCCUCCACAAACAGGACAAGGUCAAGUUUCUCCUCGUCCCGCUCCUCUGAGCACCUCCACGACCUGCGACCCCUGACCUGAGGUCAUCCCGCCAUGUUUACUUACAUCUGCUUUUAACCUGAGAUGCUGGUUAACUAGGUUCUUCUUUCGUUUCUUACUUUGUUUGACUUUUUUAUUCCCGUCACACCCAAAAAAAAAGCAACGUUCUCGAAUGUUAGACGUGUAAAUGGAGUAAAGCCAGAUGAGAGAACAUCUGUCAGUCCACGUUGUUGUUGUUGAGGAGACUUUGAGGCCGCGGCUCACAUUGACCUUUUGCCCAGUAGGUGAUCAGCUUUCCGUUCAGCGUGACGCAGCUGGUGUUGUUGUGACUGUAUAGAAGCAUUGCCACAGUUUCCUCUUGGCACACGGCCACGUGUUAGCAUACCACAGCUAGCAUAGCACGGUAACCCGCCGUCGGGUCGAAGGCCUGACUGUGGCCGUACCAGAAAACAUCGAUAACACGACAAAUAUUGUGAAAAUGUUACUCGUGGUUUGCGUUCAGUUACAUUAUGAUGAGUUAGCUGAAUGAUAACUGGGAUGCGUUCAAGUGUAACCCUGUGAAACGGGGAUAAGGAACAAAUCUCAGCCGACUGGAACACGGCAUAACCAGUCAGUAGUGCGACCUUUGACCUGUGGUCCGGGGUUAUGGGAAAGGUGCCAGCAGAAGGUGUGAUGGGUUUGUCCUCUGCAGGUGAUACGUCGGUCAUCACCUACACCUGUUCCAGCGGGUGGAGCAGAGCGGUGACACCGCGGUGCACGUUAGUGGUGUUAGAGGUGUGAUUGCAGCACGCAGGGAACAUUUUGUCUUGGGCCGUGAUCUAAUCACAACACUGGAAAUAUUCCACUCUAGUUAAACGGAUUAAUAAAAAAGGGAAAAGCUGGUUCAUGCAAUUAUGUAAAUGGCUUAACAGGAACACAAGCAAAGCAUUAUUAUUCGUACAGUGGAAGCGGGUUCAGGCUCUGAUGAAAAACAUGGUUAUGAAUCACUGGUGUCUUAUUUAUUUUGCAGGAACAACGUUGUACCGUAAGUGAGCGAGAGUUAGCCAGAGAGGCUAACGUCCAUCUGCUGCCCCCGCCAGAUGUUUGCCUGAAUUUAACAUAAUUAAAAGAGAAAAUAAAAAAAUAGUAACAUGAAGCAACAAGAAGCAACUCUGUUGCUUCAUGAAAACAACCAGAGACCCGAGAGGCACCAAGAGGAGCCGAGUCCGUUUGGAGGUCUGACGUGAGUUACGUUCCAUCAGAAAACUAUUUAUUUAUUUAUUAAUUAAUCCUCUGGUGGCAACAGCACCAACAAGCUAACAAGCUAACUCGCCGGCCAGUGGCGAGCGUCGAACAGCUGCUCGGGCAGCCGCGGGCCCUUUUCGGGGUCAAUGGUGGUCCCGGGACGCGGGUUGCUCGGCCGCGCGGUGCAGCUCUAUCUCACCUGGGCGCACACGUCACAUGAGCUGCCCGUCGCUCAGCAACACGCACGGCCUGCUUAGCGUUACCUCCCUCCUGCACAGCGUCUGCUCAUCCACCGCGGAGGACUGCAUCCAUGCAUAUUCCCACCUCUGUUUCUGUUGACAUGCAUCCAUCGGUUGAUCAUCGACAUCUCUAGUGGGUUUCAACGUAAAUGUCUUCUUUUCCAGACAGUUUGUCAUCCAGGGGACAGAUGUGCAGAGUUGUUUUAGCACACGUUUGCCACACAUGUUGGCGUGUUGGCUCGAUUACGGAGUGGGGGUCUGAGUGGGGGUCUGUGUGGGGGUCUGAGUGGGGGUCUGAGUGGGGGUCUGAGUGGGCCGCGUGUCCCAUAAUAACAUAAUUCCCUUCAAAUCCUUAAACUCUGCCCUUUGGAUUGUAAUCCUUCAAAUGUUGAAAUACUUUCAAUAGAUUAUUUCAGUUUCACAAACAGUGCUGCUGUGGUUCCUGAUGCCCACCUGGGUUCUGGUACCGAGGUCCAAUUGGAACUUAAUGUCACAUCCACCUGAACACUGUUUUCAUUGUUAGCAUGUUUUGAAUGUUACGUAUGAUCCUUAACAUGCAAAGCUGCAUCUGGCUGCACUUAGCUUCCGUAUGAAAAGUAAAACACUGAAGACUUUAACAAGUAGUAACUCCACCAGGGACCAUGUAGCCUCAACGUGUGCUGCUACAGCGAUACAGGACUGCAGCCCCUCCCCCGGGGGGAAGAGCAGCCCCCCCGGGGGAAAGAGCAGCCCUCCCCCGAGGAACGAGCAGCCCUCUCCGGGGGGAAGAGCAGCCCCUCCCCGGGGGGAAGAGCAGCCCCUCCCCGGGGGGACGAGCAGCCCCCCCCGGGCGGACAUGAAGCACGACGGAGGCUGAAUGUCACCGUCGCUGUAAACGGAUCCGUCGCCCCGGUGACCGUCGGUUGGGCCGCUAAGCACCGGUUCAUUUACCCCCCCCCCCCCCC
ensembl:lncRNA